GACGAACGCUGGCGGCGUGCCUAAUACAUGCAAGUAGAACGCAGUUGCGAACGGGUGAGUAACGCGUAGGUAACCGCCUCAUAGCGGGGGAUAACUUUUUGAAACGAUAGCUAAUACCGCAUACUGUGAGAUGGACCUGCGUUGUAUUUGCUAGUUGGAGAGGUAAAGGGGCACCAAGGCGACGAUAAAUAGCCGACCUGUGAGGGUGAUCAGCCACACUGGGACUGAGACACGGCCCAAGCUCCUACGGGAGGCAGCAGGAGGGAAUCUUCGGAAAGGGACGGAAGGCUGACCGAGCAACGCCGCGGGAGAGGAGAGGGUUUUCGGAUCGUAAAGCUCUGUUGUAAGAGGAGCGGUAACUAACCAAAAAGGGACGGCUAACUACGUGCCAGCAGCCGCGGUAAUAC
rnacentral:rRNA from 1 species